rnacentral:misc_RNA from 1 species
AAGUCGUAACAAGGUUUCCGUAGGUGAACCUGCGGAAGGAUCAUUAGUGAAUAAACUUGUGUGGGUUGUUGCUGGCCUCCUCGGAGGUAUGUGCACGCCUGCCAUUGUUUCAUUCCCCUUCCACCUGUGCACUUUUUGUAGACCAGCUGUCACUUUUCGGGUUGCUCGCAUCCCGGUUAUGAGGAUUUGCUCUGGCUGUCCUUGGUUGUCAGCGGUCUAUGUCUUUUAUCAACUCUGUAUGUGUAAACGAAUGUUUGUUCUGGGUUCUAUACCCAUAAAAUCUAUACAACUUUCAACAACGGAUCUCUUGGCUCUC